rnacentral:misc_RNA from 1 species
UUUCCGUAGGUGAACCUGCGGAAGGAUCAUUACAGAGUUCAUGCCCUCACGGGUAGAUCUCCCACCCUUGAAUAUUUAUACCUUAGUUGCUUUGGCAGGCCGUGGAAACACCAUGGGCUCCGGCUUAUGCGUGCCUGCCAGAGGAAACAAACUCUGCUUUUAGUGAUGUCUGAGUACUAUAUAAUAGUUAAAACUUUCAACAACGGAUCUCUUGGUUCCG